UCUGAGCUCCAGUGUUUGGGCUGGAAGUUGCGGACUAGUAGCUGCGGCGGCACUGGAGUGUAGGCGCGCGGGGUUGUUGCCAGGGGCAUAGCGUGAGAACAAGCAAGGGAGUCCUGCUGAAUUGCAGCUUAGGAAGCCCUGAAUCCCGGAGCAUGUAGAAUCACAAUUCUUGUUUCAUGAAGUUUGUUAAGUAAUUUGAACAAUGGUAAAUUUAUAUCAAGAAUCAUGUGAGGAUACUUAAGACCGGCCGGUACUUUCAAGUUUUCUCCUGCCCAGAUCUGUUUGGAAGAAAUCUAGUCUUAUCUGCCUCAAAAGUCCAGCAGAGAAAAAUAGCUGAAAUAAAUGAAGCCUGUGAUUACUUGGUUCUGUGUUUACCUAGA